rnacentral:rRNA from 1 species
UACGUAGGGUGCGAGCGUUAAUCGGAAUUACUGGGCGUAAAGCGUGCGCAGGCGGUUUUGUAAGCCAGAUGUGAAAUCCCCGGGCUUAACCUGGGAAUGGCAUUUGGGACUGCAAGGCUUGAGUGCGGCAGAGGAGACUGGAAUUCCUGGUGUAGCAGUGAAAUGCGUAGAUAUCAGGAGGAACACCAAUGGCGAAGGCAGCUCGCUGGGACGGUACUGACACUGAGACGCGAAAGCGUGGGGAGCAAACAGG